rfam:Canis lupus familiaris chromosome 35, whole genome shotgun sequence.
GACGAGGUGGCCGAGUGGUUAAGGCGAUGGAUUGCUAAUCCAUUGUGCUCUGCACGCGUGGGUUCGAAUCCUACCCUCGUCG